UACGUAGGGUGCAAGCGUUGUCCGGAAUUAUUGGGCGUAAAGAGCUCGUAGGCGGUCUGUCGCGUCGGCUGUGAAAACCCGGGGCUCAACCCCGGGCCUGCAGUCGAUACGGGCAGACUAGAGUGUGGUAGGGGAGACUGGAAUUCCUGGUGUAGCGGUGAAAUGCGCAGAUAUCAGGAGGAACACCGGUGGCGAAGGCGGGUCUCUGGGCCAUAACUGACGCUGAGGAGCGAAAGCAUGGGGAGCGAACAGG
rnacentral:rRNA from 1 species